UGGUUGGAUUCCCGAGUGGCCAAAGGGGGCAGACUGUAAAUCUGUUGGCACCGCCUUCGAAGGUUCGAAUCCUUCUCCAACCAU
rnacentral:tRNA from 1 species